CAGUGCAGAGUGACAGCAGCUGUGCUGUGUAUCUAAAGGGAAGCGUGGGGCUGGGAGGGGCGAGGAGUCCAAAGGGAAGGGGAGUGGAGCAAAGGGAGAAAGGGAGACACUGUAAUGAACAGUGUUGGGUUUCAGGAAGCUAUCCAAUCUUAGACACUUGACAGCAGCGUGGAACAUGGAGUCCUGGGCCCGGUCUGCGGAGCUGACCAACACCCCAAGGACGGACAAGGGUGACGACAAGGGCUUUCCAUCAGCUGGCGCCAUGCGUGAGGACCGCUGACAUGCUGUCAACCCACAGGAGAGCCUGAACUCCAGUUUGAAUGAUCCUCAACUGCUCUCCUUUGUAGUCACCAGAAUGUACGAUAAGACCUUUGUUCAUACAUCAAAAGCGUCUGUGUGUUUUGGAUUUUGAUGAUUAAAGAGACGACAGAGUGCCA